rnacentral:rRNA from 1 species
CGCUGGCGGAAUGCUUUACACAUGCAAGUCGAACGGCAGCACGGACUUCGGUCUGGUGGCGAGUGGCGAACGGGUGAGUAACAUAUCGGAACGUAUCCAAUAAUGGGGGAUAACUAAUCGAAAGGUUGGCUAAUACCGCAUACGCCCUACGGGGGAAAGCAGGGGAUCUUCGGACCUUGCGUUAAUGGAGCGGCCGAUAUCUGAUUAGCUAGUUGGUGGGGUAAAGGCCUACCAAGGCGACGAUCAGUAGCUGGUCUGAGAGGACGACCAGCCACACUGGAACUGAGACACNGNCCAAACUUCUACGGGAGGCAGCAGUGGGGAAUUUUGGACAAUGGGCGCAAGCCUGAUCCAGCCAUUCCGCGUGAGUGAAGAAGGCCUUCGGGUUGUAAAGCUCUUUCGCAAGGGAAGAAAACUUACCUUCUAAUAAAGGGUGAGGGUGACGGUACCUUGAUAAGAAGCACCGGCUAACUACGUGCCAGCAGCCGCGG